rnacentral:rRNA from 1 species
GCUCAUCCCCUGACGGUAUUUAACCAGAAAGCCACGGCUAACUACGUGCCAGCAGCCGCGGUAAUACGUAGGUGGCAAGCGUUGUCCGGAUUUAUUGGGCGUAAAGCGAGCGCAGGCGGUUCUUUAAGUCUGAUGUGAAAGCCCCCGGCUCAACCGGGGAGGGUCAUUGGAAACUGGAGAACUUGAGUGCAGAAGAGGAGAGUGGAAUUCCACGUGUAGCGGUGAAAUGCGUAGAUAUGUGGAGGAACACCAGUGGCGAAGGCGACUCUCUGGUCUGUAACUGACGCUGAGGCUCGAAAGCGUGGGGAGCAAACAGGAUUAGAUACCCUGGUAGUCCACGCCGUAAACGAUGAGUGCUAAGUGUUGGAGGGUUUCCGCCCUUCAGUGCUGCAGCUAACGCAUUAAGCACUCCGCCUGGGGAGUACGGCCGCAAGGCUGAAACUCAAAGGAAUUGACGGA